rnacentral:rRNA from 1 species
CAGUAGCCGCGGUAAAACGGAGGGUGCAAGCGUUAAUCGGAAUUACUGGGCGUAAAGCGCACGCAGGCGGUCUGACAAGUCAGAUGUGAAAUCCCCGGGCUUAACCUGGGAACUGCAUUUGAAACUGUCAGGCUGGAGUCUUGUAGAGGGGGGUGGAAUUCCAGGUGUAGCGGUGAAAUGCGUAGAGAUCUGGAGGAAUACCGGUGGCGAAGGCGGCCCCCUGGACAAAGACUGACGCUCAGGUGCGAAAGCGUGGGGAGCAAACAGGAUUAGAUACCCGGGUAGUCCCUGUCUCUUAUAU